UUGAAAAUCAGUUGAAAAAUCUUCCAGAACAAAAGCAAAGAAAAGUUAAAGCUGAGAAGAGAGUUUAGGUUGAAGACCCUCAGCUACCAGGGGCUAUUGUAGUUUGCACAUUUUUUUCUAUAAAAAUGAAAGUGAAGAUUGUGCUUCUGAUCUGUCAAAUAAUUGGUAUAAAACUUCCUGUGAAAUGGGCAACAAACUUUGAUAGAAUAGCAUCUGGAAAAUACUUGAAUUACUUCCAUUUCUCUUAUAGCCACUGUCUCAUUCAGUCUCUCUGGCUGAGAAAUCAAUCAAGAUUAGACUGAACUUCCGCUUGUCCCAUUGAAAACCUAAGUCUGAGCCAGGUGGGAAGAACCAAGACCUUGGUGAAGCUGAUGCCUGGAAAUCUGGGUGCCCUCACCUAGCCUGCCCAGUUACUUUGUUCAUACACAUCUUCACUUUUCCUUGGCAGGGGGGAUUCUGGUGAUAGCAGUCUCCAAUAACCCACUUGCAUGAAUUCCCUAACAAGCAGCGGUGAA
rnacentral:lncRNA from 1 species